CAACACUUCACCGGAAAAUAGUGAGUAACUUCCCCUUAAAAUUUUAGAAGGUCAUUCAGCAAAUUAUAUAUUUUUCAUUUGAAAAAGAUGGCAACCAAACUUCCCAAACCAGUAAUGAAAGGAUUAUGGGUAAAGUCUUAUGCUUACCACAUGAAAGUUGGAGCUGUUCUUACUGUUGCAGCAGUUGGUUUAUAUAAAGCAUGGGAAGAAUAUUUUUUCACUUCCAGAUGGACAGCAUUUGAGAAAACUUAUGACAUGGAAAAAGAUUUCCAGAGGAAGAUGAAAGCUGGAGUAUUUCAAUGUAUAGACAGUAAUGGGGUUAUAAGGAAGAGUGAUGAUUGAUUCAACAUGUUAAAAUGUAGAGUGAUGAUUGAUACAACAUGUUAUAAUGUUCAGUGACCAAAAUUUACAAUUUGUCUGUACAGAAGUGAAAUAAAAACAAAAGCCAUCUUUAAA